rnacentral:tRNA from 1 species
GUCGGGAUGCCAGAGUGGUCACGGCCCGGACAGCAGAUUCGGUGUACGGGGGUUCGAAUCCCUCUCCCGACU